rnacentral:rRNA from 1 species
UACGGAGGGUGCAAGCGUUAUCCGGAUUUACUGGGUUUAAAGGGUGCGUAGGCGGGUUGUUAAGUCAGUGGUGAAAGAUUCGAGCUUAACUCGGAAACUGCCAUUGAUACUGAUGAUCUUGAAUACAGUUGAGGUAGGCGGAAUGUGUCAUGUAGCGGUGAAAUGCUUAGAUAUGACACAGAACACCGAUUGCGAAGGCAGCUUGCUAAACUGUGAUUGACGCUGAGGCACGAAAGCGUGGGGAGCGAACAGG